AUUGAACGCUGGCGGCAGGCCUAACACAUGCAAGUCGAACGAGUGGCGGACGGGUGAGUACUUUCUUGGAAACUGCCCCAUGUAGGGGGGUAACUACUGGAAACGGUCUCUAAUACCGCAUACCAUCGGAUGUUCCCAGAUGGGAUUAGCUAGUAGGUGGGGUAACGGCUCACCUAGGCGACGAUCCCUAGCUGGUCUGCGAUGAUGACCAGCCACACUGGACAUGAUAUACGGUCCAGACUCCUACGGGAGGCAGAAGUGGGGAAUAUUGCACAAUGGGCGCAAGCCUGAUGCAGCCAUGCCGCGUGUAUGAAGAAGGCCUUCGGGUUGGAAAGUACGUUCAGCGAGGAGGCGUUACUCGCAGAAGAAGCACCGGCUAACUCCGGGCCAGCAGCCGCGGUAAUUC
rnacentral:rRNA from 1 species